UCUGGCGGGGUGGCCGCACCCGUUCCCAUUCCGAACACGGCCGUGAAACGCCCCAGCGCCUAUGGUACUUCGUCUUAAGACGCGGGAGAGUCGGUCGCUGCCAGGU
rnacentral:rRNA from 1 species